rnacentral:rRNA from 1 species
GAGUUUGAUCGUGGCUCAGAUUGAACGCUGGCGGCAGGCCUAACACAUGCAAGUCGAGCGGAUGAAGGGAGCUUGCUCCUGGAUUCAGCGGCGGACGGGUGAGUAAUGCCUAGGAAUCUGCCUGGGUAGUGGGGGAUAACGUCCGGAAACGGGCGCUAAUACCGCAUACGUCCUGAGGGAGAAAGUGGGGGAUCUUCGGACCUCACGCUAUCAGAUGAGCCUAGGUCGGAUUAGCUAGUUGGUGGGGUAAAGGCCUACCAAGGCGACGAUCCGUAACUGGUCUGAGAGGAUGAUCAGUCACACUGGAACUGAGACACGGUCCAGACUCCUACGGGAGGCAGCAGUGGGGAAUAUUGGACAAUGGGCGAAAGCCUGAUCCAGCCAUGCCGCGUGUGUGAAGAAGGUCUUCGGAUUGUAAAGCACUUUAAGUUGGGAGGAAGGGCAGUAAGUUAAUACCUUGCUGUUUGACGUUACCAACAGAAUAAGCACCGGCUAACUUCGUGCCAGCAGCCGCCGAC